rnacentral:lncRNA from 1 species
UUCAAAGCUCGCAAUGCACCGUUCUGAAAACUCUCCAGCGUAGAAUUCAGGAACCCUGAGUUUUCUAUCUCUGUCUAGUUCUGGACUGAAUGGGCUCAAGUCAUCUAGUUAACCUCUCUGGAUUUCAGUCUUCUGAAAAGUGAAGCUAAGAGAUCUAGCAUUCUGCAGAAAAGUACUGGAGAUGACUCAGGACUGAAAAUGAUCAUGAAGCCCCUUUGCAAAUAUCAAAGUGGUGAUGAAGCAGUCAUGAACUUUGACCAGAAGCCGUGUUUUGUGGGAUUGCCACUUUAAUCGCUCCUGUUCAUCAUUAGGACUGCAGCCAGAGUGUGGAAGGAGUGACAGCACAGAGGAAGAGAUGGUCCAAGACCAAAGAGGAAAGAAAUGGCAUAAGAUGGGACAGUGUUCUAUGAUCUCUAACUGGCCAAAGAAAAAUGAGAAACAAAUUUAAAAGAAGACAGUUGGAUGACUUAAACACCACCCCUGAGAGGCAGCUGUUUCCAGAAUAUUGCACAAUUUAUUGAGUUCAUGAGAAUCGUGAUCGUUGGCAGCACCGAACUUCACGGAGGGAAUCAUAGGCACUUUAAUUCCAAUUUGUUGACUUAUGGAGGAAGAAAUUUCUCCCAGUGGUGUCCCUUCAUCCAGGAACAAGAGCCAUCAAAGUGUCACAGACUUAGAGCCGGAAGGGCUCUCCGCUAGUGUUUCUGCCAGUCCUCUUGGUUUUACACAUGAGGAAACUGAGGCCCAGAGAAGUUACCCAGUAGCAGAUCUGCAAGUCACCCAGUAGCAGAUCUGCAAGGAGCUCUUAGCAAUCCUGACUCCAAGUGUAAUGCUCUUGCAUUAGCUCUGUGCUGCCUCCUAGAUGUUGGUCUUCUUAAUGUUGAUAGCACAUUUGCUCAAAUGUUUGCUAAUAUGGUUUGGCUGUGUCCUCACCCAAAUCUCAUCUUGAAUUGUAGUUCCCAUAAUCCCCACUUGUCGU